rnacentral:rRNA from 1 species
CCCUUAGAUGUCCGGGGCCGCACGCGCGCUACACUGAAGGAAUCAGCGUGGAUUUCUCCCUGACCCGAAAGGGUUGGGAAACCCGUUGAAUCUCCUUCGUGAUAGGGAUUGGGGCUUGAAAUUGUUCCCCAUGAACGAGGAAUUCCCAGUAAGCGCGAGUCAUAAGCUCGCGUUGAUUACGUCCCUGCCCUUUGUACACACCGCCCGUCGCUACUACCGAUUGAACGGUUUAGUGAGGGCCUCGGAUUGGUCUCGGCCCGCUCUUUACCGGGCGGCGCCGUUGGUCGAGAAGACGCUCGAACUUGAUCGUUUAGAGGAAGUAAAAGUCGUAACA